rnacentral:rRNA from 1 species
GGCAAACGGGAGGGUAACACAUUGGUAAUUUACCUCGAGGACGAGAAUAACCCGGAGAAAUCCGGAAUAAUACUCGAUAAAAGUGGGGGGACAUAAGUCAUUCCUACUUAAAGUUCCGGCGCCUCGAGAGAAGCCUAUGGCUUAUCAGCUUGUUGGUGAGGUAAAAGCUCACCAAGGCUACGACGAGUAGCGGGUGUGAGAGCAUGACCCGUCUCACUGGGACUGAGACACUGCUCAG